CAAAAACAUUUAAAAUAUGAUCAUUAAUUACAAAAAAUAAAUGUUAAACAUUCAUAAAUGGGCAUUUCAAACCACUUAUGUAUCUAUAUGUUACGUAUGACUGAGUUUGUAGCAAAAACUCUGUUAUCUAUUGUGAAAUUGGGAAAAAUUAAAAUGGCGGUACAAGAAAUGGAAAUAGUGCACUCUCUGACUUUUAGUUUCACCAGACAUUAUAUAAAUAACAUUUAUUCCCAAAUUGUGCCAAAAGCAAUAAUCCAUCUGUAUAAAAGCUCAUAUACUUAUCUGUCAAUAAUAAUGAAGAAUAAAAA
rnacentral:lncRNA from 1 species